UACGAAGGGGGCUAGCGUUGUUCGGAAUUACUGGGCGUAAAGCGCGCGCAGGCGGUUCUUUAAGUCAGGGGUGAAAGCCCAGAGCUCAACUCUGGAAUUGCCUUUGAAACUAGAGAACUUGGGUACGGGAGAGGUGAGUGGAAUUCCGAGUGUAGAGGUGAAAUUCGUAGAUAUUCGCAAGAACACCAGUGGCGAAGGCAGCCUCCUGGGCCAGCACUGACGCUCAUGCACGAAAGCGUGGGGAGCAAACAGG
rnacentral:rRNA from 1 species